rnacentral:rRNA from 1 species
UACGUAGGGCGCAAGCGUUAUCCGGAAUUAUUGGGCGUAAAGAGCUCGUAGGCGGUUUGUCGCGUCUGCCGUGAAAGUCCGGGGCUCAACUCCGGAUCUGCGGUGGGUACGGGCAGACUAGAGUGAUGUAGGGGAGACUGGAAUUCCUGGUGUAGCGGUGAAAUGCGCAGAUAUCAGGAGGAACACCGAUGGCGAAGGCAGGUCUCUGGACAUUAACUGACGCUGAGGAGCGCAAGCAUGGGGAGCGAACAGG